ACAUGCAAGUCGAACGGUAACAGGAAGAAGCUUGCUUCUUUGCUGACGAGUGGCGGACGGGUGAGUAAUGUCUGGGAAACUGCCUGAUGGAGGGGGAUAACUACUGGAAACGGUAGCUAAUACCGCAUAACGUCGCAAGACCAAAGAGGGGGACCUUCGGGCCUCUUGCCAUCGGAUGUGCCCAGAUGGGAUUAGCUUGUUGGUGGGGUAACGGCUCACCAAGGCGACGAUCCCUAGCUGGUCUGAGAGGAUGACCAGCCACACUGGAACUGAGACACGGUCCAGACUCCUACGGGAGGCAGCAGUGGGGAAUAUUGCACAAUGGGCGCAAGCCUGAUGCAGCCAUGCCGCGUGUAUGAAGAAGGCCUUCGGGUUGUAAAGUACUUUCAGCGGGGAGGAAGGGAGUAAAGUUAAUACCUUUGCUCAUUGACGUUACCCGCAGAAGAAGCACCGGCUAACUCCGUGCCAGCAGCCGCGGUAAUACGGAGGGUGCAAGCGUUAAUCGGAAUUACUGGGCGUAAAGCGCACGCAGGCGGUUUGUUAAGUCAGAUGUGAAAUCCCCGGGCUCAACCUGGGAACUGCAUCUGAUACUGGCAAGCUUGAGUCUCGUAGAGGGGGGUAGAAUUCCAGGUGUAGCGGUGAAAUGCGUAGAGAUCUGGAGGAAUACCGGUGGCGAAGGCGGCCCCCUGGACGAAGACUGACGCUCAGGUGCGAAAGCGUGGGGAGCAAACAGGAUUAGAUACCC
rnacentral:rRNA from 1 species